rnacentral:tRNA from 1 species
GUUUUAAUAGUUUAACAUAGAACUUUGGUCUUGUAAACCAAGAGUGAAUUUUUUUAUUCUUAAAGCA